rnacentral:rRNA from 1 species
AUGGAUCCUAAUGGCUCCUACCCCAACAAAGUUACAUCUGGUGAGAAUGAUGCCUACAUUUCCCCCUUGCAUGAAGCAUUGAGAGGCACGAGAGCCAUGCCAGUGUUAAAUGAUAUUUUGGCCUUUGAGUCACUACCAUCAGAUUCACCUUCCAUGGCGAACUCCUCAUCUGCACCCGAUGCACCACCUGAACCUACCAUGAUGCUAGUCAAUGAUAGUUCCAUGAUGCCACACCAUGAGAAUGUAGGUCUAGCACCACUCCCACCACAAUUGUCUGAUACAAUUAUUAAUCCUUUAUCCAUGGUUAAUACCAUAGUGUCCCAACCCAACAAUGAGGAAAUCCAUCAAGAUGAACAUGAAAUGUUCAGGCAUGAAGACUUCCUUUCAAACCCUUUGUGGAAUUACGCUGACUCCUAUCAUCAUACACAUACCUCGUCCAUGGAGUCUCCAUCAUUCACAUCCUUACUCCAAACAGAUCCAAAUUCUAUUGUUCAUACCCACCUUAACACUAAUGGAGCAAUGGAGGAUGGUUCAAUCUAUGACAUGCCCGCCAUACAUGUCUCUGAGAACAUACAAGAUGGAAGGCUACUAUAUGAUGCUUCUUAUGGUGUACCUGCCCCUAUUUCUCCAUUCAUGGCAACCUCACAUGUACCAAGAGAAUAUAACACCCCUCUAGUUGGUCCAAAUGGCAUUUCUGAUAGUGCUAUUUUGCAUGAUUCUACAUCCUUGGGUAAUUACACAUGCAAGAUUUGCGGUCGCAAAUUCAACACAUCUCAAGCCUACGGUGGUCACAUGAGUUCCCAUGCCAAAGAAAGGAAGAAACACCUACAAAGUUGA